rnacentral:lncRNA from 1 species
UUCCAGCAUCUUACUCAACUCCACAUAUAAAAGAAAGUUACCCUGAACCAACAAAAGGAAUGAUGCCUCCUCUGCUUUACCCUGUGCCUCAGAGGAAAGAAAGCUAUCCUGAGGCACCACAUGGCACAAAGCCUCUAUUUUCUCCUAUUCAUACACAGCAACCAUAUUCACCAACUUCAAUCCCGAUACCUCAAAGGAAAGAAAACUACCCUGAAACAAAUCCUGGACCAAAGCCUUUAUUUUCCCCUGGUUAUACACAACAAUCACAUUCACCAACUUCAAACCCGACACCUCAGAGGCCUGAGGCAGCACAUGGCACAAAGCCGCUGUUUUCCUCUGUUCAUACACAACAACCAUACUCACCAACUUCAAACUCGAUACCUCAAAGGAAAGAAAACUACCCUGAAACAACUCAUGGACCAAGGCCUCUGUUUUCCCCUGGUUAUACACAACAAUCACAUUCACCAACACCUCAGAGGAAAGAAAGCCAUCCUGAGGCAGCACACGGCACAAAGCCUCUGUUUACCCCUAUUCAUACACAGAAACCAUAUUCACCAACUUCAAACCCGAUACCUCAAAGGAAAGAGAACUACCCUGAAACAACUCAUGGACCAAGGCCUCUGUUUACCCCUAUUCAUACACAGAAACCAUAUUCACCAACUUCAAACCCGAUACCUCAAAGGAAAGAAAGCUACUCUGAAACAGCACACGGCACAAAGCCUCUGUUUACCCCUGUUCAUACACAGCAACCAUAUUCACCAACUUCAAACCCGAUACCUCAAAGGAAAGAAAGCUACCCUGAAACAGCACACGGUGCAAAGCCUUUGUUUUCCUCUGGUUAUACACCACAAUCACAUCCACCAACUUCAAACCCAACACCUCAAAGGAAAGAAAGCUACCCAGAAACAACACACGAUACAAACCCUAUGUUUUCCCCUGUUUCUACACAACAAUCAACUGCAAAUCCGACCUCUCAAAACAACGAAAGUCAGCCAAAGAAGAAAAAAGGUUGGACAUCUCUGUUUUCCUC